UGUCUGUGUUGGAGGUGUCUGUGUCGUGUAUGUCUGUGUUGGAGGUGUCUGUGUUGGAGGUGUCUGUGUGGUGUAUGUCUGUGUUGGAGGUGUCUGUGUGGUGUGUGUCUGUGUUGGAGGUGUCUGUGUUGGAGGUGUCAGUGUUAGAGGUGUCUGUGUUGGAGGUGUCUGUGUUGGAGGUGUCUGUGUUGGAGGUGUCAGUGUUGGAGGUGUCUGUGUCGUGUAUGUCUGUGUUGGAGGUGUCUGUGUUGGAGGUGUCUGUGUUGGAGGUGUCAGUGUUGGAGGUGUCUGUGUUGGAGGUGUCAGUGUUGGAGGUGUCUGUGUGGGAGGUGUCUGUAUGGGGUGCUGGGCAGAGCAGAGCAGAGAGACACCAGAGAGACAGAGGUUAACCUGCAUACUGUUGUCUCUCAGCAGGUAUAAUUGAUGUUAGCAUGGCCAACAUUACCACUGUCCUGAACCAUGG
ensembl:lncRNA